ACAUUUUUCUGUUUUUACACAGGAAGUUUUAACAUGAGAACAGUGAGAAACUUCUUCCACUAAGGCUUUCCUGCCUGAAGGAGGGACACAACAAUUUGAAGAUGCUCAGUGAGGAGGGGAAGAGAUCCAUUCAGGUGUUAGUUGUGAGCCUGGCAGAGGAAUUCCUAGACUAAACGUUACAACUUAAGGAUUUAGAGGUAUGUGCUCACUUUUAGAAUUUGAAUUAACUCUCUUUCUGUUCUUUCCAACAUUUUUAACAUCUUACUUCAGUUUCCUAGUAGAAUAUCCUGACUGACCAGCCACAAGACUGAGCAGAUGCAACAACCUUAUCCAUUCUUCCAGCAGUUAUGCCAAUGACGAGACAAAAGCAACAAAUUUUAGUAUAAAAAAACCAGUAAGGGUAUGUAAUUAUACAUAUCUACUACCCAGUGAUAAUAUCCCUUUUGCCUACUAGGAUGCUGGUUUGCAACAUUAAACAAAAAGUUUGCUUUUGACCUUUGUUGAUAAAUGGAUCAAAAGAGGAAUACAAAGUUAUUUAGAAUUGCAGAUGGAGAGAAACCUCCCCAGGGAAAACGUGUUCUGCCAGCAUCUUCUGCAAAAAGAGCUAUCACACUACAAAAAAGGACCUUCCAAAUGAAGGCAAGCAAUGAAGGAAGAAUUAAACUGUCCACCAAGUAGAAGAUAUUUGCUGAUCUGUGAGUCCAAGAACCUUGCCUUUACCUCCUGAAGAGCAUAUGGAAAGAAGCCGUAAUUCAUUCCCAGUCUUUAACUGUUGGUGGUAUCAUUGUUUUUCUUUCUGCAUCAUCUGUUUCAAAUCAUCUAUAACCUUAGGUUUUCUAGGAGGUCAAACAGAAACAGACCUUCACUUCUAAGAUGUAAACAUUUACAGUUUGGUCUUUACCACCCAAACCAACUGUAGCUUUGUUUUUAACUUGGAAAAACUACCUUCUUUGAUAGAAAGCUGCCAACUGCAUUUCUAGUAUCAGAGGUUAUAUUGGUUAUGGCUCAGUGGAAACUUGAAAUAAUCAUAUUUCAGUUUUUUAUUGUUUUGCCAGGCCUAUUAGAUGAUCACAUUUGGUUAAUUUAGACUAUGGUCAGAACUGGAAUAUGAAGCAACAAAUACAAACACCAAACCUCAGAAUUGAUUCUGUAUUUCCAGUCUAAGUGGUCUAAAGACUGAUAGUGUUUCAGCUUUUGCUAGUUAUUCUUCCACACCAAAUGAAAAAAAUAGAUUUGCCAUCUUCUAACUUCUAGACACAGCUGAAAGAAAUGAGAAAAAGCAAAUGUGUGGCUGCUAAGGACCAUUUUUCUCCAUUUGUUUUCAUGGGUCAAAAUCAUGAGUACUCUGCAAUUUACAGCUGAAUCAAGAGGAGAAAUCACAGGGAAGACACAUUCUGCUCUAAGUUGCAUCAAGAGCUGAAUGAGAAUUUAAACCAGUUCUCAAAAUAAGCACAGAGCUAAAAUCAGCAUAGUUUUGGUAUGAAAAAUAAAAGGGUAUUUCUUUGCUGCA
rnacentral:lncRNA from 1 species